rnacentral:RNase_P_RNA from 1 species
UGAGUCGGCAGGGCGGUCGCGUCGACAGAUUUCAUGUCUGUCGCCGAGGAAAGUCCGGACUCCGCAGGGCAGGGUGGUUGUUAACGGCAACCAGGGGCGACCCUCGGGACAGUGCCACAGAGAACAGACCGCCCCGGCGACGAGCCGGGGUAAGGGUGAAACGGUGGUGUAAGAGACCACCAGCGCCCCGGGUGACCGGGGCGGCUAGGUAAACCCCACCCGGAGCAAGGCCAAGAGGGUGUCCCCCGGGACACCUGCGCAGGCGAUCGAGGGCGGCCCGCCCGAUGCCUGCGGGUAGGCCGCACGAGCCUGUCGGCGACGGCAGGCCGAGAUGGAUGGCCGCCGAACGGGACCGCCGCGAGGCGCCCGGGAACAGAAUCCGGCUUACAUGCCGACUCAUCCG